UUUUACUCCCAACUAAAAAAUAAAGCUUUCUACCUUUUGCUAUUGUAGCUUAUACAUUGCACAAUGCUACCUUUUGCUCAGUCUGCUGUACCGAUUCAUUAUCUUUGUUCAUUAACAUUGGGUUCCAUAACCUAUCCUUUCAACUUCUCUCUAAUCUCUCUUCUCCUUACCAAACAUGUUACCAACUAUUUUUCUCUCUUCUUCUGCUUCGAUUCUAGUUCGACUCAUCUCCUUUGUUCGCGUUUGAAGAUGUGGUGUUGGGUUUUGAACGUUUGAUGAUGAAUGUUGAGUUGAAACAACUCUGAAUCGGCAAAGCUGGGUGAUAUCUUUCCGAGUGAUUUUUUUUUCCAGAUCCAACGCCUCCAUGGCUUAGGGUUUGCAUUGAUGAUAUGUCUGAGAAAGAUGUAGUUUACUCAAGUAAAAAUAAGUCCAGGGUAAUUUUUUUCAUGGUUGCAGCAUCUGGAAAAUACUAUUGUUGUCAUUCACAGACAUGUAAGGAACAAGUGUUGAAAAUGAAGAUUGCUAAACCUGCUACUGCAAGUAAUGUUUCUGUUUUAAUAAUUUGAAAAUUUUGUUUAGUUUUGAACAUGUGUUAAGCGCCUUGAUAGUUUGGACUCAUAAUCAUGUUUCAGUUUGGUCUGAAUUAAUUGCAGAGAAUGAAUAUGAAACCCUGAUCUUUGAAAGUUGAAACCAUGUUUUGUCAUUAUUAUUUUGUUAGCCAUAAUUUAUAUUUGUUUUUGUCAUUUUAGUGUGUCAUCCUGGAAACAGAUGAGUUUGUAUGUGGUGUAAACAGAUUUCCAGCGACGAGUGUGGUGAUGGUCCGAUUCGAAAAGAUUUUUGUUUGAAAUUUUCAAUUUAUGUUUUGUUAAUACCUUAUUCUAUUGUAUUUGAUUUGUUUAAGUUUUAUAACUUAUGCUUAACUAAUUGUUAUGAUUCUUAUUAGGUGGGUAACACAAUGAAGAAAGUGCAGGAUGUGAAGGAAUUGUUAUAGAUUUGAAAUUGCCAAAUAGAUUGAAUUCUUAAUCAUUUUUCGGUAUCUUUGUUGGAUCUCAUUUUUUCUUUCGGUUUCAAGUUUCUCUUUUUUUCUUCUGAUGUUGAUAAUGUUUAAUCUCAUUUUGUUGCAGGAAAAAGUUUAGAUUCUUUUUGUACAUUUGAAUGGUUCAAUCACUUGACUCUGAACAUAUUGUUUUAUCAGUUUUGAAUGGUAUGUUUAGUAAUUCGUAAUAAUAAACUAAUGUAUGAUUUGUUCAAGAAUACGGAGCCGCAAAAAGUACGAAACAAAUUAUUUCAGUAGCUUCGGUUAGCUUUUUGAAGGUCUUCACUUCAUUUGAAACAUAAAGAGAUGUGUUGCAUUGCAGGUUAUAAAUAAUUUUUUUGAAGGUUUACUUUUCAUCUAAUGAUUAUUUAUGUUGGCUGUGAAUUGUACUAAUGUAAUCAAUGUCGAAUUCCGUCUUCGACAAUUAACUCAAUGCCACCCUUUAGGGUAGCAGCACCUUCAUUAGGGCUUAAAGCCCACUUCCUAUGAAAUCAGAUUUUAGAUUUUUCAAUCAACUUAAGAUUGGUGAAAGAAAAGAUUAAGAUAGUACUACUGUGAGAGAACUCAGCAGAGUGGCCUGGAAGUGCAUAUGAUAUGUUGUCCAAAAUCUGCAACCACUUUUGUGAUGACCUGAUAUACUGUUAAAAUUUGUCAAACUAAUCCGGGAGAUUUAGAGGUAGCUAUGUACAAAUGUGGAAAGUACAUUAAGGACCAUUGUGGUAGCUAUGCAGGUAUGUCAAGUAAUGCAAUUUUGUUUUGAGCUGCGAUAUUUUUUAUCUACGAAGAUGAUCAAUCAAUGUUUUUUUCAAUACUUUAUAUCAUAUUUCAAUACUUUAUAUCGUCUAAGAAGCAACAACAUAUCAAAUACGGCGGCGUUUUCAACGUCUCUGCAAAAUUAGCAUCACAACCAAUCAAAUCAAGAGACGCAUCUCUCAUGCAGGCAACCGAGAAUCAAACCUUAGGACAAACCCAAAUCAAGGAAA